rnacentral:rRNA from 1 species
AUUGAACGCUGGCGGCAUGCUUUACACAUGCAAGUCGAACGGUAACAGGCCUUCGGGUGCUGACGAGUGGCGAACGGGUGAGUAAUGCAUCGGAACGUACCCAGAGGUGGGGGAUAACGCAGCGAAAGCUGUGCUAAUACUGCAUGUGAUCUGAGGAUGAAAGCGGGGGACCGAGCAGCAAUGUUUGGCCUCGCGCCUUUGGAGCGGCCGAUGUCGGAUUAGCUAGUUGGUGGGGUAAAGGCCUACCAAGGCGACGAUCCGUAGCUGGUCUGAGAGGACGACCAGCCACACUGGGACUGAGACACGGCCCAGACUCCUACGGGAGGCAGCAGUGGGGAAUUUUGUACAAUGGGCGCAAGCCUGAUCCAGCAAUGCCGCGUGCGGGAAGAAGGCCUUCGGGUUGUAAACCGCUUUUGGCAGGAACGAAACGGUGUCCGCUAAUACCGGGCGCUAAUGACGGUACCUGCAGAAUAAGCACCGGCUAACUACGUG